CCAAUCGAACCCGGAGAUAGCUGGUUCUCCUCGAAAUAGCUUUAGGGCUAGCCUUGAGGGUCAUUAGCGCAGGUAGAGCACUGAAUGGGCGCGGGGGCCACAAAGCCUACCAACCCCUAUCAAACUACGAAUGGCGAAUAAUGUAGACCUCAGGAGUCAGUCCGCGAGAGAUAAGUUCCGCGGGCAAAAGGGGAACACCCCAGAUCAACCGCUAAGGUCCCAAAGUGCACGUUAAGUGGAGAAGGAUGUGGAAUUGCACAGACAACCAGGAUGUUGGCUCAGAAGCAGCCAUUCAUUUAAAGAGUGCGUAAUAGCUCACUGGUCGAGUGGUUGUGCGCCGAAGAUGUCCGGGGCUAAAACGUGACACCGAAGCGAUGGAUGCGUAGCGAUACGCGUGGUAGAGGAGCAUUGUGUGCUGGGAGAAGCCAGAUCGAGAGGACUGGUGGACGGCACAGAAGAGAGAAUGCCGGUAUGAGUAGCGAGAGGCAUGCGAGAAACAUGCCCGUCGAAAGCCCAAGGUUUCCUGGGGAAGGUUCAUCCACCCAGGGUAAGUCGGGGCCUAAGCCGAGGACGGAAGUCGUAGGCGAUGGACAGCAGGUGGAAAUUCCUGCACCACCGAGGAAUGAAGCAGUGACGCAGAAGGAUAACUCGAGCAGGGUGAUGGUCAACUCUGUGCAAGCAACGAGGUUGGGGUAUAGUGAAGUACGUACUCCUGUAAGCUGAGUUGUGAUGCGGACCGAAACGAAAGUAGGGAAGCGAGUGAGUUCACGCUGACAAGAAAAGCUGCUAGUACAUCCGAAGGUGCCCGUACCGGAAACCGACGCAGGUGGGCGAGGAGAGAAUCCUGAGACGAACGGGAGAACCCUUGUUAAGGAACUCGGCAAAAUGACCCCGUAACUUCGGGAGAAGGGGUGCCUCGAAAGAGGCCGCAGAGAAUAGUCACAAGCGACUGUUUAGCAAAAACACAGGUAUCUGCGAAAGCGAGAGCUGACGUAUAGGUGCUGACACCUGCCCGGUGCUGGAAGGUUAAGGGGACAUGUUAGCGAAAGCGAAGCAUCGAACCGAAGCCCCAGUAAACGGCGGCCGUAACUAUAACGGUCCUAAGGUAGCGAAAUUCCUUGUCGGGUAAGUUCCGACCCGCACGAAUGGUGUAACGACUUGAGCGCUGUCUCAACAGGGGGCCCGGUGAAAUUGAAGUAUGGGUGAAGAUGCCCAUUACCCGCGACUGGACGGAAAGACCCCGUAGAGCUUUACUGUAGCCUGAUAUUGGAUUUCGGUAACGGAUGUACAGGAUAGGUGGGAGGCUAGGAAACCAGGACGUCAGUCUUGGCGGAGCCGUCGGUGGGAUACCACUCUUUUGUUACUGAAACUCUAACAUGGACCCGUGAAACCGGGUAAUGGACAGUGUCAGGUGGACAGUUUGACUGGGGCGGUCGCCUCCGAAAGAGUAACGGAGGCGCCCAAAGGUACCCUCAGAAUGGAUGGAAACCAUUCGAAGAGAGCAAAGUCAGAAGGGUGCUUGACUGCGAGACCAACAAGUCGAGCAGGUACGAAAGUAGGGCUUAGUGAUCCGGCGGUAAGAGAGUGGAAUUGCCGUCGCUCAACGGAUAAAAGCUACCUCGGGGAUAACAGGCU
rnacentral:rRNA from 1 species